rnacentral:rRNA from 1 species
UGCCUCAGUAACGGCGAGUGAAGCGGCAACAGCUCAAAUUUGAAAUCUGGCUCCUCUCGGGGUCCGAGUUGUAAUUUGUAGAGGAUGCUUCGGGUGCGGCACCGGUCUAAGUCCCUUGGAACAGGGCGUCAUAGAGGGUGAGGAUCCCGUAUGUGACCGGCGACCAAGUCCAUGUGAAGCUCCUUCGACGAGUCGAGUUGUUUGGGAAUGCAGCUCAAAAUGGGUGGUAAAUUUCAUCUAAAGCUAAAUACCGGCCAGAGACCGAUAGCGCACAAGUAGAGUGAUCGAAAGAUGAAAAGCACUUUGGAAAGAGAGUCAAAAAGUACGUGAAAUUGUUGAAAGGGAAGCGCUUGUAACCAGACCUGCCGUCGGGUGCUCCGCGGGCAUUCUUGCCCGUUUACUCACCCGGCGAUCAGGCCAGCAUCGGUUUUGGCGGCCGGAUAAAGACUCGAGGAAUGUAGCUUCGCUUCGGGGAAGUGUUAUAGCCUCCUGUGCAAUACGGCCAGCCGGGACCGAGGACCGCGCUUCGGCUAGGAUGCUGGCGUAAUGGUUGCAAGCGACCCGUCUUGAAACACGGACCAAGGAGUCUAACAUCUAUGCGAGUGUUUGGGUGUCAAACCCAUGCGCGGAAUGAAAGUGAACGGAGGUGGGAACCCUCAAGGGCGCACCAUCGACCGAUCCGGAAGUUUACGGAUGGAUUUGAGUAUGAGCAUAGCUGUUGGGACCCGAAAGGUAUAGUCGAUCCCUCUAAUGAGUCCCUAGGAGCUUGUGCUAACGUGUGAUGCAGAUGGUGAACUAUGCCUGAAUAGGGUGAAGCCAGAGGAAACUCUGGUGGAGGCUCGCAGCGGUUCUGACGUGCAAAUCGAUCGUCAAAUUUGGGUAUAGGGGCGAAAGACUAAUCGAACCAUCUAGUAGCUGGUUCCUGCCGAAGUUUCGUAAGUUUUUCCCGGGAGACUCCCCCAAUCGAGCCCUUACUAACAUGUUCAAUAGCCUCAGGAUAGCAGUAACGUUUUCAGUUUUAUGAGGUAAAGCGAAUGAUUAGAGGCUUGGGGAUGAAACAUCCUUAGUGAGUCUUACCGGUCCCCUCCCCCUCUGGCAGCCUGCUAACUUCGAAAUUUAGACCUAUUCUCAACUUUCAAUGUGUAAGAAGUCCUUGUUACUUAGUUGAACGUGGACAUUGAAUGCACCGUUACUAGGUGCCAUUUUUGUAAGCAGAACUGCGAUGCGGGAUGAACGAACGUGGGGUUAAGGGCCGGAAUGUCGCUCAUCAGACACCAAAGGGGAGACUUGUGGUGUCUGNCCGGGGGGANAGCCCCCGGCAUUAGUNUGNGAANGGCGAGGUCUUUGACCUGUUAGGGAUCGGCGGUCGCUCAGCGAUGGCCUACCCUCUNCUGUCCNUUGGCCNGGCAGCUCACAGAUCAAGCAAAGGCCGNNGGCCGUGUGCCGUUGGAGAUAUGAUCGGCCCCUGGAGGUUCACUCCGGGGAGCAAGUGCAAAAGGUGUUGAUUCAUCUAGACAGCCGGACGGUGGCCAUNNNAGUCGGAAUCCGCUAAGGAGUGUGUAGUUGUUGCACACCACAGUACNUUCGUAUUAGCACGCGCCCCUCUUCCCGGGGGUGCAAGUGACAGCUCUUUGANGCNUGAAUGCUUUUUCGUUGAAUCGAGAUUGCCACNGGCAGUGGGGUCGCAGACCCCAUCUACAG